GUUCUUGAGGACCAUUUAGUUAACUCAGAGUUUGGCUUCCUUCCACUGACCUCAUUUAAAGUACUGUAGUCAUCGUUGAUACUGUUCUUCUGGUUUUGUUUACUUUAUUCUGUAUCAGAUCACACGGAUCUUCCCACAUUUCUCUGAAUUCCUCCUGUUCAUCAUCCCUUACUGUACAAGAGUAUUUCAUUACAUUCAUAUAUACCACAAUUGGUUCAGCCAUUCCCUUAUCUAUAAAUAUUCUUCUUGUUUCCAGUUGUUUGCUACAACAAAAAGGGCUGAGAUGAAUUAUUUUUGUCUCUGUUCUUUCUGGUUUUGACCUCUUUUGUGCUUACCUCUUUACCCUUCUUUACAUAUAACACAGGAUGCUUAAAGAUAUUACUUCAGGUUGAAUAGCUUAUUCAUCUAAGAAUGAAACUUUCUGGGUUUACGUGUUCUUUCACUUUUUAAAAACAAGAUGCAAAUUCAAUGCCUUGGUCAGAGAGAAAAUUAUAUUCAUCCAUGUGUAUCUGCAGUCAACAAUUGACUGUACCACAAAAUGGGCUGAUCCGGUCCAUUCCAUCUGUUCUUUCUGGUGGAGGGAUUCAUAAGCAGGAGAAUGACCAAGAGCCUAGAGGAAGAAGAAAUAAACUCCACAUCACAUAAUGAGUACCCAAGGAACCAAGAAUCGACAUCAAUGAAGUAACCACCAUGGUGAACUGUCACAGUCAAUUAGGGCUCUGAGCCAAUAGUAAUAAAGUAUUUAAGUGAAUGUAUUAGACCUAAAGA
rnacentral:lncRNA from 1 species